GACAGAGGUGCCGAGCGUUAGGCGGAAUCACUGGGCUUAAAGCGUGUGUAGGCGGGCCGUUAAGUAUCUUGUGAAAUCCCCCCGGCUCAACCGGGGAAUGGCUGGAUAUACUGGCGGUCUUGAGCAAUCUAGGGGCAGAUGGAACAGACGGUGGAGCGGUGAAAUGCGUAGAUAUCGUCUGGAACGCCAAAGGUGAAGACAGUCUGCUGGGGAUUUGCUGACGCUGAGACACGAAAAGCCAGGGGGAGCGAACGGGG
rnacentral:rRNA from 1 species